rnacentral:lncRNA from 1 species
UGGCCAGAAGCUGGCCUUCUGUGCCCAGCCCCCUUUCCAUCCCCAAGCCUGUCCAGGCACCUGCUAUGGGUCCUGGCAUCCCGAGGCAGGGCCAGGGAAGGGCCAGGGUGAGGCCAAGAGGGCGGGUGAGGACAGCCCAGCCCAGCUCCUCACUGCUGGGGAGCCUGGUGUGGGGGCAGGACUGCUCUUGGCAGCUAUGUUCUCCCUGGAUGGAGAGAAGGCCUGUGUGUCUAUGGAGUGUGUUGCUGCAGGGAAGGCUUCCCAGUGGAGGUGGCUCCUGAGCUCUAGGAAAAGGGAAGUGAGUGUCCUUCCAGGCAGAGGGAACAGCAGGUGCAAAGGCCUGGGGGCUCGUCUAUAAGAUAACAGGGAUUGUCAUAUCAGAGAGACACCCCCAGACCCCCCGGACCACACCAUCACACAGUGACAAGAGCUCACAGGGCACACAAUCAAGUGUUCCCCCGCCCCCACUGCCCCUGGGGCAGCCUCACUCCUGGGACCCCCUGGAGCUGGGCGCAGCCGGUGGCCGUCAGCGCCAGCGGCAGGGCCCCCCGCGGCACACGUGCACUCGCCGCCCGCAGCCGCACCCCGCGCACACGCCGGCGGGGCUAACGAGCCCACAGGCCUCCAGGGCGGGAUGAAGCCAGUUGUCGGGCGGGGCCGCGGCGGUCACACAGCAUUAGCCCUGCGGCCGCCCCGCCAGGCCCGCUGGAGUCACAAGCCCCAUCCCAGACUCUCCAACGCUGGACCUGCAGCGCCCAGCCCUGCCCUGGUGCUACCACCUGCCAGCUCUGUGCCUGCCCCUCCACUAGAUCAUGACUUCGGCUCCAGCUCCCUCACUCUCCAUGCCUCUCACUUGCGGGUUGUGCCCUGCUCAGCUGGCCAGACUUUGGCCCCCUCCCUACCUGGAUUUGUGAAGCCCCAAAUUUCAUCUCCCCCACCACACUUAUUCACAGCCUCCGCCUGCUGACAUACCCAGGCAAGACUCCCUUCCCCUCCAGGCAGCCAAACUUCAGUUCGAAUCUUCUGGCUCUUACCAGACCCCUGAUGAAUCCCAGGAUCUUCGCAGGUGGUCCCAGGGCCUCUUUGAACCACAGUUUUACUUAUCUGAAAAAUAAAAAGGCAUGAUUUAGAUG